UGCAAGUCGAACGGUAGAGGGGGCAACCCCUUGAGAGUGGCGAACGGGUGAGUAAUAUAUCGGAACGUGCCCAGUCGUGGGGGAUAACGUAGUGAAAAUUACGCUAAUACCGCAUACGAUCUAAGGAUGAAAGCGGGGGAUCGCAAGACCUCGCGCGACUGGAGCGGCCGAUAUCAGAUUAGGUAGUUGGUAGGGUAAAGGCCUACCAAGCCAACGAUCUGUAGCUGGUCUGAGAGGACGACCAGCCACACUGGAACUGAGACACGGUCCAGACUCCUACGGGAGGCAGCAGUGGGGAAUUUUGGACAAUGGGCGAAAGCCUGAUCCAGCCAUUCCGCGUGCAGGAUGAAGGCUCUCGGGUUGUAAACUGCUUUUGUACAGAACGAAAAGGUCUCUAUUAAUACUAGGGGCUCAUGACGGUACUGUAAGAAUAAGCACCGGCUAACUACGUGCCAGCAGCCGCGGUAAUACGUAGGGUGCAAGCGUUAAUCGGAAUUACUGGGCGUAAAGCGUGCGCAGGCGGUUAUAUAAGUCAGAUGUGAAAUCCCCGGGCUCAACCUGGGAACUGCAUUUGAGACUGUAUAGCUAGAGUACGGUAGAGGGGGAUGGAAUUCCGCGUGCAGCAGUGAAAUGCGUAGAUAUGCGGAGGAACACCGAUGGCGAAGGCAAUCCCCUGGACCUGUACUGACGCUCAUGCACGAAAGCGUGGGGAGCAAACAGGAUUAGGUACCCUGGUAGUCCACGCCCUAAACGAUGUCAACUGGUUGUUGGGCCUUAACUGACUCAGUAACGAAGCUAACGCGUGAAGUUGACCGCCUGGGGAGUACGGCCGCAAGGUUGAAACUC
rnacentral:rRNA from 1 species